rnacentral:pre_miRNA from 1 species
UGUCUCCCAGCCCAAGGUGCAGUGCUGCAUCUCUGGUCAACUGGGAGUCUGAGAUGAAGCACUGUAGCUCGGGAAGGGAGGAAC